rnacentral:rRNA from 2 species
GGCGUGCCUAUACAUGCAAGUCGAGCGGACAGAAGGGAGCUUGCUCCCGGAUGUUAGCGGCGGACGGGUGAGUAACACGUGGGUAACCUGCCUGUAAGACUGGGAUAACUCCGGGAAACCGGAGCUAAUACCGGAUAGUUCCUUGAACCGCAUGGUUCAAGGAUGAAAGACGGUUUCGGCUGUCACUUACAGAUGGACCCGCGGCGCAUUAGCUAGUUGGUGGGGUAAUGGCUCACCAAGGCGACGAUGCGUAGCCGACCUGAGAGGGUGAUCGGCCACACUGGGACUGAGACACGGCCCAGACUCCUACGGGAGGCAGCAGUAGGGAAUCUUCCGCAAUGGACGAAAGUCUGACGGAGCAACGCCGCGUGAGUGAUGAAGGUUUUCGGAUCGUAAAGCUCUGUUGUUAGGGAAGAACAAGUGCGAGAGUAACUGCUCGCACCUUGACGGUACCUAACCAGAAAGCCACGGCUAACUACGUGCCAGCAGCCGCGGUAAUACGUAGGUGGCAAGCGUUGUCCGGAAUUAUUGGGCGUAAAGGGCUCGCAGGCGGUUUCUUAAGUCUGAUGUGAAAGCCCCCGGCUCAACCGGGGAGGGUCAUUGGAAACUGGGAAACUUGAGUGCAGAAGAGGAGAGUGGAAUUCCACGUGUAGCGGUGAAAUGCGUAGAGAUGUGGAGGAACACCAGUGGCGAAGGCGACUCUCUGGUCUGUAACUGACGCUGAGGAGCGAAAGCGUGGGGAGCGAACAGGAUUAGAUACCCUGGUAGUCCACGCCGUAAACGAUGAGUGCUAAGUGUUAGGGGGUUUCCGCCCCUUAGUGCUGCAGCUAACGCAUUAAGCACUCCGCCUGGGGAGUACGGUCGCAAGACUGAAACUCAAAGGAAUUGACGGGGGCCCGC